rnacentral:sRNA from 2 species
CGAGUUGGUGGCUAGGGUUCCGGCGCUUCCGUAGGGAGCGUGACUGGUCCGAGAGCUGCCACCGGUUGGGGGAGAAAUCCCACCGGGUGCACGGCGGGAUAAAAGCCCGGGAGAC